GCAUAUUUGUUUUCAGAUUUUAAUGCCUUUUUGGGCAUGAAAAUGUACCAUUCUUCCCUGUUAGAGAAACAGCAUUGUCCAUAUAGGAAUUCAUAGGGGUAAGAGAGAAAUGGGGGACGUCUCGCCUGAUAAGAAAUCUGGUUGUGGCCUAAUAAAUGCAGUUUUUGGACGACGAAGUUUUUGGCAAAAGAGAACCACUUCUUGUAGCUCACUUCCUGCGAUGAAUGGAAACACAUU
rnacentral:misc_RNA from 1 species